rnacentral:rRNA from 1 species
AACGAACGCUGGCGGCAUGCCUAACACAUGCAAGUCGAACGAUGCCUUCGGGCAUAGUGGCGCACGGGUGCGUAACGCGUGGGAAUCUGCCUUUCGGUUCGGAAUAACUCAGGGAAACUUGAGCUAAUACCGGAUAACGUCGCAAGACCAAAGAUUUAUCACCGAAAGAUGAGCCCGCGUAGGAUUAGCUAGUUGGUGAGGUAAAGGCUCACCAAGGCGACGAUCCUUAGCUGGUCUGAGAGGAUGAUCAGCCACACUGGGACUGAGACACGGCCCAGACUCCUACGGGAGGCAGCAGUGGGGAAUAUUGGACAAUGGGCGAAAGCCUGAUCCAGCAAUGCCGCGUGAGUGAUGAAGGCCUUAGGGUUGUAAAGCUCUUUUACCCGGGAAGAUAAUGACGGCACCGGGAGAAUAAGCCCCGGCUAACUCCGUG